rnacentral:rRNA from 1 species
AUUGAACGCUGGCGGCAGGCCUAACACAUGCAAGUCGAACGAGUGGCGGACGGGUGAGUAAUGUCUGGGAAACUGCCCGAUGGAGGGGGAUAACUACUGGAAACGGUAGCUAAUACCGCAUACCAUCGGAUGUGCCCAGAUGGGAUUCGCUAGUAGGUGGGGUAAUGGCGUACCUAGGCGACGAUCCCUAGCUGGUCUGAGAGGAUGACCAGCCACACUGGAACUGAGACACGGUCCAGACGCCGACGGUAGGCAGCCGUGGUGAAUAUUGCACAAUGGGCGCAAGCCUGAUGCAGCCAUGCCGCGUGUAUGAAGAAGUCCUUCGGGUUGUAAAGUACUUUCAGCGGGGAGGCGUUACCCGCAGAAGAAGCACCGGCUAACUCCGUGCCAGCAGCCGCGGUAAUUC